AAAAUCUGUCUCAACCCUUACCUGAUCUGAAAAAUCUGAAAGAUCUGGAGACAGAGGAAGAAAAUGGUGCAAAAUUCAUAAUCUCAUUCAAGAUCUCUGAGUGAAGUUGCCCAAAUGUGACAGUUUAUGUGUUGACGUAAGUGCUGUCUCUUUGAUAUUCAAGUAUGAAGAAGUUGCAUGACGUAAUAAUGCCCAAACCUGGAGUAACUGUUUACUUUAAUGACUUGGUUUCCAGUCAAUGGGGCGGCAACAGUGGAGAUGAGAGCAGAUCUGUGUUUAGAGAGCUGAAGAUUACAGCACUCAGUGAAAGGGCAUGAAUACUGACACCCACAAUGUUUUGAUGGGAACAGUAAAUCCCUCAGCGGUGCCUCAC
ensembl:lncRNA